rnacentral:lncRNA from 1 species
GUGAUCCUUUGCACAUUCAUGGAGGCCCAAUUACAAGAGCAAGAGCCAAAAAGAUGCAAGCUGCUUUAAAUGGAUUAAUUGAGAAAAUAUGGAUUGAAAAUGUAAUUCAAGAUGCAAGACAUCAUGAAUUGGUCUUGAAGAGAAGACAAGGCAUUGUGGGCAUUAUUCAAGUCAUUGGGCAGCCAAAUACACAAGUUGUAUCAAAUGCAGAAAGGUCAAAUUCGGAAUAAAAACUGUAUUGAUUGAGCCAGAAUUAAAAUGCAAGCUAUAUACCGUUGGAAAGAUAAUUAAGUUAGCUUUCCAAUAAAUUUUACAGAGCUGGAUUUGGAGUUCUCUAGAAGGAGUUAUGACCAAUUCUUUACAGCUUGUUCAGACUUGGGAUUUUCAACGAAUCCUUUGUUUUUCAACUUAUUUGUUUGUUUUGUUUCAAGCUUG